UACGUAGGGUGCGAGCGUUAAUCGGAAUUACUGGGCGUAAAGCGCACGUAGGCGGCUUUGCAAGUUAGAGGUGAAAGCCCGGGGCUCAACUCCGGAAUUGCCCUUAAGACUGCAUCGCUAGAAUUGUGGAGAGGUAAGUGGAAUUCCGAGUGUAGAGGUGAAAUUCGUAGAUAUUCGGAAGAACACCAGUGGCGAAGGCGACUUACUGGACACAUAUUGACGCUGAGGUGCGAAAGCGUGGGGAGCAAACAGG
rnacentral:rRNA from 1 species